rnacentral:tRNA from 1 species
AUCGGUAUGGUCUAGUGGUUAGGAUUCCUGGUUAUCACCCAGGCGACCCGGGUUCGAUUCUCGGCACCGAAU